rnacentral:rRNA from 1 species
ACGGGUGAGUAAUGUCUGGGAAACUGCCUGAUGGAGGGGGAUAACUACUGGAAACGGUAGCUAAUACCGCAUAACGUCGCAAGACCAAAGAGGGGGACCUUCGGGCCUCUUGCCAUCAGAUGUGCCCAGAUGGGAUUAGCUAGUAGGUGGGGUAACGGCUCACCUAGGCGACAUCCCUAGCUGGUCUGAGAGGAUGACCAGCCACACUGGAACUGAGACACGGUCCAGACUCCUACGGGAGGCAGCAUG